rnacentral:rRNA from 1 species
CAGUCGCCACGGUAAUACGAAGGGGGCUAGCGUUGUUCGGAUUUACUGGGCGUAAAGGGCGCGUAGGCGGACUGAUAAGUCAGGGGUGAAAUCCCAAGGCUCAACCUUGGAACUGCCUUUGAUACUGUUUGUCUUGAGUUCGAGAGAGGUAAGUGGAACUGCGAGUGUAGAGGUGAAAUUCGUAGAUAUUCGCAAGAACACCAGUGGCGAAGGCGGCUUACUGGCUCGAAACUGACGCUGAGGCGCGAAAGCGUGGGGAGCAAACAGGAUUAGAUACCCGGGUAGUCCCUGUCUCUUAUAC